rnacentral:rRNA from 1 species
AACGUAGGGUGCGAGCGUUGUCCGGAAUUACUGGGUGUAAAGGGAGCGCAGGCGGUCAUUUAAGUUGGGUGUCAAAACUACGGGCUCAACCCGUACCCGCACUCAAAACUGAGUGACUUGAGUGGAGCAGAGGUAGGCGGAAUUUCCGGUGUAGCGGUGGAAUGCGUAGAUAUCGGAAGGAACACCAGUGGCGAAGGCGGCCUACUGGGCUUUAACUGACGCUGAGGCUCGAAAGCAUGGGUAGCAAACA